ACGGAAGGCAGCAGUGAGGAAUAUUGGUCAAUGGGCGGAAGCCUGAACCAGCCAAGUCGCGUGAAGGAUGAAGGUAUUAUGUAUUGUAAACUUCUUUAGUCGCAGGGAAAUAAGGCGGACGCGUCCGCUGAUGCUAGUAUGCGAAGAAUAAGGAUCGGCUAACUCCGUGCCAGCAGCCGCGGUAAUACGGAGGAUCCGAGCGUUAUCCGGAUUUAUUGGGUUUAAAGGGUGCGCAGGCGGUCUUUUAAGUCAGUGGUCAAAUCGGGGGGCUCAACCCCAUCCCGCCAUUGAUACUGGAGGACUUGAUUGCGGUCGAGGUUGGCGGAAUUCGUCGUGUAGCGGUGAAAUGCAUAGAUAUGACGAAGAACACCGAUUGCGUAGGCAGCUGACCAGGCCGUAAAUGACGCUCAUGCACGAAAGUGCGGGGAUCGAACAGGAUUAGAUACCCUGGUA
rnacentral:rRNA from 1 species